AGGAUUUGAGCGUCUGACUGUGGACACAGAGCUCAAUAAACUAACAGUAUCUGGCACUAUGGACCCGGUCAAGGUGGUGAACAAACUGACGAAACUGCACGCAGAAAUGAUGAGCUUCGGAGCAGCCAAGGAAGACGAUGGCAAGAAAGAAGGGGGAAAGAAGAACGAAGAUCAAGUCGCCAGUCAGGUAAAAGCCUCUCAAGCAUACUAUCCUGGACAGGCCAGUGCUCUUCGGCUCCUUGAUCUCCUUUUUUCACUCCUACACUUCGAACCUACCCGAUGAUCAUUCUCCAAUCAAUCCUAAAUGUGCAAAAAAGAUUGACUAUUCCCGAAGAUAAAUUUGGAAUCUCCGUUGAUUUUGUCGCCUAUACAAACGGAUCUCCAGUUUCCAGAAGUAGCGUUCUUCGGUUUAAGGAAAGUAGCUUGUGUUCACAACGAUUAUCAAUCAGAAGCUUUCUUGCAAAACUGUCCUUCAGAUUGGCAAUUUAAUCAUCACUUUCUAUAUUUGAAAUCCUAGACAGAUUACUAGUUGUGUUGUUCAAAAUAGUGGCGCUUGCGUCUGAAUGUUUAUGUGGGAGUUGAUCUUCGGAUUCUGAUGUUGUUUCACUGUAGUGGACUCUGUAAAUAUUUCAAGGUUUUGAAUAUCUCCGCAUAUGAGAUUUGCCGAUAUCCAUAUGGUCAAUAUCCAUGAUGUUGUUGAGAUGCUAUCCAAAGAUAUUUGAACAACAACAGAAGGGUUCUGAAAAAUGUCAAGAUAUUGACUUCUCUUCAUGGUCUCCAUAUUCAAAGAGCAGUUGAUUGAAUCUGAAACAACUUCUCUUCAUUAGUAGUUCCUGUAAGAUGAUACCGUUAUGCACGUAUCAGAUUCAAGACGAACCAAAGAAGAUUUUAUCAAUUUCAAAAUUUUAUUAAUAGGUUUUCUCAAUAGUAAUUGUUAAUCGUAUAGCAUGAUGGUCUCUACUCGUGUGAAUAAUAAUUGUAGGAAUGUCAAAUGAUGCUUCAAAUUCUUAUCCAUUAUUGAUUACAUAUGGCCAAGUUGUUUAAACGCUAGUCUGUCACACCACAUCUGAUCGUCUGAGUUCAGUAGUCGUAAAAGAUUGAUAUUUACUCGAAAUCUAACUGGGUUUUGCUUUCCUCAAACUUUUGCAGAAGUUGGUGGUGAAAGUGGAUCUAGGUGAUGAGGAAGACAGGAGAAAGGCCGAGCGAGUAGUUCCGCGUAUUGCAGGUAUUGGCCCUCUCCCUCUCUGUCUUUUCCCUUCAUUCUCCCACUGAAUGUUUAAAUCGUCACUGUGAUAGUAGUCAUCUUGUGCUCGAAGUGUUCGGCUUCACUAACCUUUGUCACGUAAUGCUUUCCAGGAUUUGAGCGUCUGGCUGUGGGCAUAAAGCACACCAAACUAACAGUAUCUGACACUCUGGACCCAGUCGAGGUGGUUAACAAACUGACGAAACUGCACGCAGAAAUGGUGAGCUUCGGAGCAGCCAAGGAAGACGAUGGCAAGAAAGAAGGGGGAAAGAAGAACGAAGAUCAAGUCGCCAGUCAGGUAAAAGCCUCUCAGGCAUACUAUCCUGGACAGGCCAGUGCUCUUCGGCUUCUUGAACUCCUUUUUUCACUCCUACACUUCCAACCUACCCGAUGAUCAUUCUCCAAUCAACCCUAAAUGUGCAAAAAUGAUUAACUAGCCCCUGAGAUAAAUUUUGAAUCUCUGUUGAUUUUAUCGCCUAUACAAACGGAUCUCCAGUUUCCAGAAGUAGAGUUCUUCAGUUUAAGGAAAGUAGCUUGUGUUCAUAACGAUUAUCAAUCAGAAGCUUUCUUGCAAAACUGUCCUUAAGAUUGGCAAUUUAAUCAUCACUUUCUAUAUUUGAAAUCCUAGACAGAUUACUAGUUGUGUUGUUCAAAAUAGUGGCGCUUGCGUCUGAAUGUUUAUGUGGGCGUUGAUCUUCAGAUUGUGAUGUUGUUCCACUAUAGUGGACUCUGUAAAUAUUUCAAGGUUUUGACGAUCUCCGCGUAUAAGAUUUGCCGAUAUCCAUAUGGUCAAUAUCCAUGAUGUUGUUCAGAUGCUAUCCAAAGAUAUUUGAACAACAACAGAAGGUUCUGAAAAAUGUCAAGAUAUUGACUUCUCUUCAUGGUCUCCAUNNNNNNNNNNNNNNNNNNNNNNNNNNNNNNNNNNNNNNNNNNNNNNNNNNNNNNNNNNNNNNNNNNNNNNNNNNNNNNNNNNNNNNNNNNNNNNNNNNNNCUUAUCAGAUUCAAGAUGAACCAAGGAAAAUUUUAACAAUUUCAAAAUUUUAUUAAUAGGUUUUCUCAAUAGUAAUUGUUAAUCGUAUAGCAUGAUGGUCUCUACUCGUGUGAAUAAUAAUUGUAGGAAUAUCAAAUGAUGCUUCAAAUUCUUAUCCAUUAUUGAUUACAUAUGCCCAUGUUGUUUAAACGCUAGUCUGUCACACCACAUGUGAUCGUCUGAGUUCAGUAGUCGUAAAAGAUUGAUAUUUACUCGAAAUCUAACUGGGUUUUGCUUUCCUCAAACUUGUGCAGAAGUUGGUGGUGAAAGUGGAUAAAGGUGAUGAGGAAGACAGGACAAAGGCCAAGCGAGUAGUUUGGCAUAUUGCAGGUAUUGGCCCUCUACCUCUCUGUUUUUUCCCUUCAUUCUCCCACUGAAUGUUGAAAUCGUCACUGUGAUAGUAAUCAUCCUGUGCUCGAAAUGUUUGGCUUCGCUAACCUUUGUCACGUAAUGCUUUCCAGGAUUUGAGCGUCUGACUGUGGACACAGAGCUCAAUAAACUAACAGUAUCUGGCACUAUGGACCCGGUCAAGGUGGUGAACAAACUGACGAAACUGCACGCAGAAAUGAUGAGCUUCGGAGCAGCCAAGGAAGACGAUGGCAAGAAAGAAGGGGGAAAGAAGAACGAAGAUCAAGUCGCCAGUCAGGUAAAAGCCUCUCAAGCAUACUAUCCUGGACAGGCCAGUGCUCUUCGGCUCCUUGAUCUCCUUUUUUCACUCCUACACUUCGAACCUACCCGAUGAUCAUUCUCCAAUCAAUCCUAAAUGUGCAAAAAAGAUUGACUAUUCCCGAAGAUAAAUUUGGAAUCUCCGUUGAUUUUGUCGCCUAUACAAACGGAUCUCCAGUUUCCAGAAGUAGCGUUCUUCGGUUUAAGGAAAGUAGCUUGUGUUCACAACGAUUAUCAAUCAGAAGCUUUCUUGCAAAACUGUCCUUCAGAUUGGCAAUUUAAUCAUCACUUUCUAUAUUUGAAAUCCUAGACAGAUUACUAGUUGUGUUGUUCAAAAUAGUGGCGCUUGCGUCUGAAUGUUUAUGUGGGAGUUGAUCUUCGGAUUCUGAUGUUGUUUCACUGUAGUGGACUCUGUAAAUAUUUCAAGGUUUUGAAUAUCUCCGCAUAUGAGAUUUGCCGAUAUCCAUAUGGUCAAUAUCCAUGAUGUUGUUGAGAUGCUAUCCAAAGAUAUUUGAACAACAACAGAAGGGUUCUGAAAAAUGUCAAGAUAUUGACUUCUCUUCAUGGUCUCCAUAUUCAAAGAGCAGUUGAUUGAAUCUGAAACAACUUCUCUUCAUGAGUAGUUCCUGUAAGAUGAUACCGUUAUGCACGUAUCAGAUUCAAGACGAACCAAAGAAGAUUUUAUCAAUUUCAAAAUUUUAUUGAUAGGUUUUCUCAAUAGUAAUUGUUAAUCGUAUAGCAUGAUGGUCUCUACUCGUGUGAAUAAUAAUUGUAGGAAUAUCAAAUGAUGCUUCAAAUUCUUAUCCAUUAUUGAUUACAUAUGGCCAAGUUGUUUAAACGCUAGUCUGUCACACCACAUGUGAUCGUCUGAGUUCAGUAGUCGUAAAAGAUUGAUAUUUACUCGAAAUCUAACUGGGUUUUGCUUUCCUCAAACUUUUGCGGAAGUUGGUGGUGAAAGUGGAUAUAGGUGAUGAGGAAGAUAGGACAAAGGGAAAGCGAGUAGUUUGGC
rnacentral:lncRNA from 1 species